GGGCGCUCCGUAAGGAGCGGGAACGCGGGGAACUGAAACAUCUUAGUACCCGCAGGAAAAGAAACCAACAGGGAUGCCGGGAGUAGGGGCGACCGAAACCGGCAGAGGGCAAACUGAACCCUGGGUGGUAACAUCCAGGGGAUGUGGGGUUGCAGGGCCCCCGUAAAAAACCCAGGUUGGGAAGCCGAAGUCGCCUGGAAUGGCGCACCAUAGAGGGUGAAAGUCCCGUAGGCAUAACUGACCUGGGUUUUUGGGGUGUCCCUGAGUACCGUGGGUUGGAUAUCCCGCGGGAAUCUGGGAGGCAUCGGUCUUCCAACCCUAAAUACGUCCCAAGACCGAUAGCGCACUAGUACCGUGAGGGAAAGCUGAAAAGCACCCUUAGCAGGGGGUGAAAAGAGCCUGAAACCAGGUAGGGACAGUAUGGCACGGCCCCAAAGGCAACUGUUCCGAAGGAACCCCUCGCGAGAGGGUAGUACGAGGAACAGUGUCCAGGGUCGUGCCGUCCGUUUUGAAAAACGGGCCGGGGAGUGUAUGGCUGUGGCGAGCCUAAGACCUUCAAGGUCGGAGGCGUAGGGAAACCGACAGGUCCGCAGGCUUUUUGCCGAGGGACGGGGUCUUAAGGGCCUGGAGUCACAGCCAUACGACCCGAAACCGGGCGAUCUAGGCCGGGGCAAGGUGAAGCCCCUCAUCAGAGGGGUGGAGGCCUGCAGGGGUGUUGCAAUGCAAAGCGCUCCUCUGACCCCGGUCUAGGGGUGAAAGGCCAAUCGAGCCCGGAGACGGCUGGUUCCCCCCGAAGUAGCUCGCAGGCUAGCCGGGGGUUAGGUCGUGGGCAGGGUAGAGCACUGAUGGGGUGAACAGGGGGCGAAAGCCCUCGUCACCCUGUCAAACUCCAAACCUGUCCACACCGUAGCCCCCGAGUGAGGGCAUACGGGUAAGCCGUAUGUCCGAGACGGGAAUAACCGAGACCCGGGUUAAGGUCCCUAAGUGCCGGUUAAGUGCGAACACGAAGGGCGUCCCUGGCCUAAGACAGCAGGGAGGUUGGCUUAGAAGCAGCCAUCCUUUAAAGAGUGCGUAACAGCUCACCUGCCGAGGUCAGGGGCCCCGAAAAUGGACGGGGCUAAACCGGCCACCGAAACCCGGGGGCACCGAAAGGUGAUCCGGUAGGGGGGCGUUCUGCGGGGGUAGAAGCCUGGCCGUGAGGUCAGGUGGACCCCGUAGAAACGAGAAUCCCGGCAGUAGUAACAGCAAAGUGGGGUGAGAAUCCCCACCGCCGAAGGGGCCAGGUUUCCACAGCAAUGGUCGUCAGCUGUGGGUUAGCCGGUCCUAACCCCCAGGGUAACCCCCUACGGGGGGAAAGGGAAACAGGUUAAUAUUCCUGUGCCGCCAGGGUACGUGCGGCAACGCAAGGCCAGUUCCUGACGCUUCAGGGUAGGCCAACCAUCCCCGUCGGGGUGGUCAAGGGUAUAAGUCCGGGGAGAGUUGUAAUAACGAGAACCGGAUGAAAGCCUGAUGAGCCGCCCGUUAGGGCGGUUUGGCCGAGCCCUGGAGCCCGUGAAAAGGGAACUGGCAAGGAUCCCUGGCGACCGUACCCAGAACCGACACAGGUGCCCCUAGGUGAGUAGCCUAAGGCGUGUCGGGAGAAUCCAGCCGAGGGAAGUCGGCAAAUUGGCCCCGUAACUUCGGGAGAAGGGGUGCCAGCGGCCUUCUCAAGGGGCUGCUGGUCGCAGUGACUAGGGGGGUCCGACUGUUUAAUAAAAACACAGGUCUUAGCUAGCCCGAAAGGGUGUGUACUAAGGCCGACGCCUGCCCAGUGCUGGUACGUGAAGCCCGGGUACAACCGGGUGAAGCGCCAGUAAACGGCGGGGGUAACUAUAACCCUCUUAAGGUAGCGAAAUUCCUUGUCGGGUAAGUUCCGACCUGCAUGAAUGGCGUAACGAGACCCCCACUGUCCCCGGCUGGAACCCGGUGAACCUACCGUUCCGGUGCAAAGGCCGGAGACCUCCAGUGGGAAGCGAAGACCCCGUGGAGCUUUACUGCAGCCUGCCGUUGGGGCAUGGCCGUGGGUGUACAGCGUAGGUGGGAGCCGUCGAAGCCUCCUCGCCAGGGGAGGUGGAGGCGCCCAUGGGACACCACCCACCCAUGGCCAUGUCCCUUACCCCAGUAGGGGGACACCGGUUGGUGGGCAGUUUGGCUGGGGCGGCACCCUCCUGAAAAGGCAUCAGGAGGGCCCAAAGGUCGGCUCAGGCGGGUCAGAACUCCGCCGUUGAGUGCAAGGGCAAAAGCCGGCCUGACGUGACCCCGCACAAUAAGGGGUCACGAGCCGAAAGGCGGGCCUAGCGAACCCCUGUGCCUCACCGAUGGGGGCCAGGGAUAACAGAAAAGCUACCCCGGGGAUAACAGAGUUGUCGCGGGCGAGAGCCCAUAUCGACCCCGCGGCUUGCUACAUCGAUGUCGGUUUUUCCCAUCCUGGGUCUGCAGCAGGACCCAAGGGUGGGGCUGUUCGCCCAUUAAAGGGGAUCACGAGCUGGGUUUAAACCGUCGUGAGACAGGUUGGUUGCUAUCUGCUGGAGGUGUUGGCUGCCUGAGGGGAAGGUGGUUCUAGUACGAGAGGAACGAACCACCGGCGCCUCUAGUCUAUCGGCUGUCCGACAGGGCAUGCCGAGCAGCCACGCGCCAAGGGUUAAGGGCUGAAAGCAUCUAAGCCCGAAACCCACCCCGAAAAUAGGCAGCCGUUCCCUUCGGGGACGAGGGCACCCCUAGAAGAGGGGGUUGAUAGGCUAGGGAUGUAAGCACCGAGGGGUUUUCCCCCGAGGUGUUAAGUCCGCUAGUACUAAUCGCCCGAG
rnacentral:rRNA from 1 species